UAGCAAUACGAUGGAAAGUCUAGUGGCGAACGGGUGCUUAGCACGUGAGCAAUCUGCCUUAAAGUGGGGGAUAGCUCGCCGAAAGGCGAAUUAAUACCGCAUGUGGUUGCAAAACUAAAGCCGGGGCAACCUGGCGCUUUUAGAGGAGCUCGCGGCCUAUCAGCUUGUUGGUGAGGUAACGGCUCACCAAGGCUUCGACGGGUAGCUGGUCUGAGAGGACGACCAGCCACACUGGAACUGAGACACGGUCCAGACACCUACGGGUGGCAGCAGUCGAGAAUUUUUCUCAAUGGGGGAAACCCUGAAGGAGCGACGCCGCGUGGAGGAUGAAUGCUUUCGGGUUGUAAACUCCUGUCAUUUGGGAACAAAGCCUUACGUUAACUGCGUGGAGGUUUGAUAGUACCAGGAGAGGAAGAGACGGCUAACUCUGUGCCAGCAGCCGCGGUAAUACAGAGGUCUCAAGCGUUGUUCGGAUUCAUUGGGCGUAAAGGGCGCGUAGGCUGCGGGGUAAGUCGGAUGUGAAAUCUCAGAGCUCAACUCUGAAACUGCACUCGAUACUGCUCUGCUAGAGGACUGGAGAGGAGAUUGGAAUUCACGGUGUAGCA
rnacentral:rRNA from 1 species